AAAUUGAAGAGUUUGAUCAUGGCUCAGAUUGAACGCUGGCGGCAGGCCUAACACAUGCAAGUCGAACGGUAACAGGAAGCAGCUUGCUGCUUCGCUGACGAGUGGCGGACGGGUGAGUAAUGUCUGGGAAACUGCCUGAUGGAGGGGGAUAACUACUGGAAACGGUAGCUAAUACCGCAUAACGUCGCAAGACCAAAGAGGGGGGACCUUCGGGCCUCUUGCCAUCGGAUGUGCCCAGAUGGGAUUAGCUUGUUGGUGGGGUAACGGCUCACCAAGGCGACGAUCCCUAGCUGGUCUGAGAGGAUGACCAGCCACACUGGAACUGAGACACGGUCCAGACUCCUACGGGAGGCAGCAGUGGGGAAUAUUGCACAAUGGGCGCAAGCCUGAUGCAGCCAUGCCGCGUGUAUGAAGAAGGCCUUCGGGUUGUAAAGUACUUUCAGCGGGGAGGAAGGGAGUAAAGUUAAUACCUUUGCUCAUUGACGUUACCCGCAGAAGAAGCACCGGCUAACUCCGUGCCAGCAGCCGCGGUAAUACGGAGGGUGCAAGCGUUAAUCGGAAUUACUGGGCGUAAAGCGCACGCAGGCGGUUUGUUAAGUCAGAUGUGAAAUCCCCGGGCUCAACCUGGGAACUGCAUCUGAUACUGGCAAGCUUGAGUCUCGUAGAGGGGGUAGAAUUCCAGGUGUAGCGGUGAAAUGCGUAGAGAUCUGGAGGAAUACCGGUGGCGAAGGCGGCCCCCUGGACGAAGACUGACGCUCAGGUGCGAAAGCGUGGGGAGCAAACAGGAUUAGAUACCCUGGUAGUCCACGCCGUAAACGAUGUCGACUUGGAGGUUGUGCCCUUGAGGCGUGGCUUCCGGAGCUAACGCGUUAAGUCGACCGCCUGGGGAGUACGGCCGCAAGGUUAAAACUCAAAUGAAUUGACGGGGGCCCGCACAAGCGGUGGAGCAUGUGGUUUAAUUCGAUGCAACGCGAAGAACCUUACCUGGUCUUGACAUCCACAGAACUUUCCAGAGAUGGAUUGGUGCCUUCGGGAACUGUGAGACAGGUGCUGCAUGGCUGUCGUCAGCUCGUGUUGUGAAAUGUUGGGUUAAGUCCCGCAACGAGCGCAACCCUUAUCCUUUGUUGCCAGCGGUCCGGCCGGGAACUCAAAGGAGACUGCCAGUGAUAAACUGGAGGAAGGUGGGGAUGACGUCAAGUCAUCAUGGCCCUUACGACCAGGGCUACACACGUGCUACAAUGGCGCAUACAAAGAGAAGCGACCUCGCGAGAGCAAGCGGACCUCAUAAAGUGCGUCGUAGUCCGGAUUGGAGUCUGCAACUCGACUCCAUGAAGUCGGAAUCGCUAGUAAUCGUGGAUCAGAAUGCCACGGUGAAUACGUUCCCGGGCCUUGUACACACCGCCCGUCACACCAUGGGAGUGGGUUGCAAAAGAAGUAGGUAGCUUAACCUUCGGGAGGGCGCUUACCACUUUGUGAUUCAUGACUGGGGUGAAGUCGUAACAAGGUAACCGUAGGGGAACCUGCGGUUGGAUCACCUCCUUA
rnacentral:rRNA from 1 species